AUGAACGUUGGCGGCGUGGAUUAGGCAUGCAAGUCGAGCGAGAAGUCCUUCGGGACGGACAGCGGCGAAAGGGAGAGGAAUACGUAGAAAUCUACCCCUGAGACCGGGAUAGCGUCGGGAAACUGGCAGUAAUACCGGAUAAUGUCUUAGGACCAAAGGUGUGAUUCCACUUGGGGAUGAGUCUACGCCCUAUUAGCUAGUUGGUGGGGUAAUGGCCUACCAAGGCGAUGAUGGGUAGCGGGUGUGAGAGCAUGAUCCGCCUCACUGGGACUGAGAACUGCCCAGACACCUACGGGUGGCUGCAGUCGAGAAUCUUUGUCAAUGGACGAAAGUCUGAACAAGCGACGCCGCGUGCGGGAUGAAGGCCUUCGGGUUGUAAACCGCUGUCGUAGGGGAACAAAUGUACGGGGGUACUCCCCUGUAUUUGAGUGAUCCUAGGAGGAAGGAGAGGCUAAGCUCGU
rnacentral:rRNA from 1 species